GGAAUAUUGGACAAUGGGGGCAACCCUGAUCCAGCCAUGCCGCGUGAGUGAUGACGGCCUUAGGGUUGUAAAGCUCUUUUCUCCGGGACGAUAAUGACGGUACCGGAGGAAUAAGCCCCGGCUAACUUCGUGCCAGCAGCCGCGGUAAUACGAAGGGGGCUAGCGUUGCUCGGAAUCACUGGGCGUAAAGGGCGCGUAGGCGGCUGAUUUAGUCGAGGGUGAAAGCCCGUGGCUCAACCACGGAAUGGCCUUCGAUACUGAUUGGCUUGAGACCGGAAGAGGACAGCGGAACUGCGAGUGUAGAGGUGAAAUUCGUAGAUAUUCGCAAGAACACCAGUGGCGAAGGCGGCUGUCUGGUCCGGUUCUGACGCUGAGGCGCGAAAGCGUGGGGAGCAAACA
rnacentral:rRNA from 1 species